GAUGAACGCUAGCUACAGGCUUAACACAUGCAAGUCGAGGGGAAACGGCAUCGAAAGCUUGCUUUUGAUGGGCGUCGACCGGCGCACGGGUGAGUAACGCGUAUCCAACCUGCCCAUCACUUGGGAAUAACCUUGCGAAAGUAAGACUAAUGCCCAAUGACAUCCCACGAAGGCAUCCGAAUGGGAUUAAAGAUUUAUCGGUGAUGGAUGGGGAUGCGUCUGAUUAGCUUGUUGGCGGGGUGACGGCCCACCAAGGCAACGAUCAGUAGGGGUUCUGAGAGGAAGGUCCCCCACAUUGGAACUGAGACACGGUCCAAACUCCUACGGGAGGCAGCAGUGAGGAAUAUUGGGCAAUGGGCGAGAGCCUGAACCAGCCAAGUAGCGUGCAGGAUGACGGCCCUAUGGGUUGUAAACUUCUUUUAUAAGGGAAUAAAGUGGGUCACGUGUGACUUUUUGCAUGUACCUUAUGAAUAAGGACCGGCUAAUUCCGUG
rnacentral:rRNA from 1 species